CCUGGCACUGCAGGUUUUCUAUCCUGGAAGACUGGUUCCAAGUGGUGGGUAGAUGGCACUGAGAUCUAGCACCAUUUGAAAUCAGUGCUUUCAGGACUAGCCCUUGCUGCUUCUGUGCA
rnacentral:pre_miRNA from 16 species